rnacentral:rRNA from 2 species
CCAAUAGCGUAUAUUAAAGUUGUUGCAGUUAAAAAGCUCGUAGUUGAAUUUCGAGAUCAAUUUGUUGGUCGUGCCUCGGUACGUACUGGCAAUUUUGGUUUCUCCCUUCUGAAGAACCAUGAUGUCAUUAAUUUGGUGUCAUGGGGAAUCAGGACCGUUACUUUGAAAAAAUUAGAGUGUUUAAAGCAGGCUCGCGCUUG